rnacentral:rRNA from 1 species
GAGUUUUGAUCAUGGCUCAGGAUGAACGCUGGCGGCGUGCUUAACACAUGCAAGUCGAACGAAGAUGCCGGAGUGCUUGCACUUUGGCAGACUGAGUGGCGGACGGGUGAGUAACGCGUGGGUAACCUGCCUUAUACAGGGGGAUAACAGUCAGAAAUGGCUGCUAAUACCGCAUAAGCGCACAGAGCUGCAUGGCUCAGUGUGAAAAACUCCGGUGGUAUAAGAUGGACCCGCGUUGGAUUAGCUAGUUGGUGGGGUAACGGCCUACCAAGGCGACGAUCCAUAGCCGGCCUGAGAGGGUGAACGGCCACAUUGGGACUGAGACACGGCCCAGACUCCUACGGGAGGCAGCA